rnacentral:rRNA from 1 species
UUCUUCUAUGUUUUAAGUUUGAAGUAUGACCUGCCCACUGAGUAUUUGAAUGGCCGCGGUAUUUUGACCGUGCAAAGGUAGCAUAAUCAUUAGUCUAUUAAUUGUAGGCUGGAAUGAAUGGUUGGACGAGAUGCAAACUGUCUUGAUAUGAAUAUAUUAGAAUUUAAUUUUUAGAUAAAAAAGUCUAAAUUUUUUCAUGGGACGAGAAGACCCUAUAGAGUUUUAUGUACUUUGUAAUUGUUUGUGUUUAGAUAAUUAAAGGGUAUAUUAUAGAUUAUAUUUUGUUGGGGUGAUGGCGAGGUAAAUAGAACUCUCGUUUGUUAUUACUAUAAUAAUUAUUAAUUUUAAAGAUCCAUUAUUGUUGAUUAUAAGGCUAAAUUACCUUAGGGAUAACAGCGUAAUCUUUUCGGAGAGUUCAAAUCGAUGAAGGGGGUUGCGACCUCGAUGUUGGAUUAAGAUAAAUUAUAGGUGAAGAAGUUUAUAUAAUUGGGUCUGUUCGACCUUUAAAAUCUUACA